CCUACGGGAGGCAGCAGUGGGGAAUUUUGCACAAUGGGGGAAACCCUGAUGCAGCGACGCCGCGUGUAGGAAGAAGUCUUUCGGUAUGUAAACUUCUAUUAGCAGGGAAGAAAAUGACGGUUUCUGUCUACGAAGCCCCGGCUAACUACGUGCCAGCAGCCGCGGUAAUACGUAGGGCGCAAGCGUUCGCCGGAUUUACUGGGUGUAAAGGGAGCGGAGGCGGCGGAGUAAGUCAGAAGUGAAAGCCCGGGGCUCAACUCCGGGAUGGCUUAUGAAACUGUAUGGCUAGAUUGCGGCAGAGGGAAGUGGAAUUCCUAGUGUAGCGGUGAAAUGCGUAGAUAUUAGGAAGAACACCAGUGGCGAAGGCGGCUUGCUGGGCUGUAAAUGACGCUGAGGCUCGAAAGCGUGGGGAGCAAACAGGAUUAGAUACCCGGGUAGUC
rnacentral:rRNA from 1 species